rnacentral:rRNA from 1 species
AGGACGAACGCUGGCGGCGUGCCUAACACAUGCAAGUCGAACGGGGUAAAGAGCUUCGGUUUUUACUUAGUGGCGAACGGGUGAGUAACGCGUGAAGAACCUGCCUUUCAGUGGGGGACAACAGUUGGAAACGACUGCUAAUACCACAUGACACUUCUGAGUGGCAUCACUUAGAAGUCAAAGCUUUAUGUGCUGAAAGAUGGCUUCGCGUCUGAUUAGCUAGUUGGCGGGGUAACGGCCCACCAAGGCGACGAUCAGUAGCCGGUCUGAGAGGAUGAACGGCCACAUUGGGACUGAGACACGGCCCAGACUCCUACGGGAGGCAGCAGUGGGGAAUCUUCCGCAAUGGACGAAAGUCUGACGGAGCAACGCCGCGUGAGUGAUGACGGUCUUCGGAUUGUAAAGCUCUGUCUUUAGGGACGAUAAUGACGGUACCUAAGGAGGAAGCCACGGCUAACUACGUG